rnacentral:rRNA from 1 species
UACGUAGGCAGCGAGCGUUGUUCGGAGUUACGUGGGCGUAAAGGGUGUGUAGGCGGUUGUUUAAGUUUGGUGUGAAUCUCCCCGGCUCAACUGGGAGGGUGCGCCGAAUACUGAAUGACGUUGGAGUGCGGGAGAGGAGAGUGGAAUUCCUGGUGUAGCGGUGAAAUGCGUAGAUAUCAGGAGGAACACCGGUGGUGUAGACGGCUCUCUGGACCGUAACUGGACGCUGAGACACGAAAGCGUGGGUAGCAAACAGG